CUCACCCCGGACCCUAGCUCACCGCCCAGAACGUCACCGGCUCGUUAGGUGACAAGGACGCCCCGCCCAGACUGUGGGAGGGGCCGACGGCGGCCGGGACUCUCCGAAGCCUGGAGUUUCCCCUGGCUGCCGCCCACGUGACCGUCUGGUCCGCGGCGGGUGCGGCCCGCAGCGACCGUGUGAAGUCCUCAGCUGCCGCCAGAGUGGGUUAAGUCAGCCCGGCCUCAAGGUCGCAGUGACCUACCGGGGGCCAGCUGUGGGCGGUUGCACUGGCUGCUGAGCAACUCUCGACACCCGGGAAUGAGUCCGUGCCCCUGACUUCAGCACUAGCGAGAAUUUAUUCUAAAACCCGGGCGUUGGAUCGAAGGUUGCAAAGAACCCUUAAUAGUGUGAAGUAAAAUAAAACGAUAAAUAUGUUUUUCAAAAAAAGUUACACAAAUGUAAGAAAAAGCAAAGGACAAGCCUUGCUGUCUUUUAAAUGACUAAGGGCCCAGGGCUUUUAUGAAUGAAGUGUUGGGGCUUGGUGAGAAAGGGAGUAGGUAGUAUGGGGAGAGGAGGAGCCACACUUGUGUUGGGUAACCCUGUGCUCCAAUGCAGGAAAGAGAUAGGAAGGGGGAAGCUGAGACCCACAAAGAUCAAGUCAUCUGAUCCAAGUUAUCCAAACUUACCAAGCAGUUAAAUUAGAAGGCUGGACUUGGACAUAUUGAUGACAGAAGCUUCCUAGCAACAGGAAUCUCAAGUCCGUUGUUCUGCCUGGCUCACAGGACAGGGCCGAUGACAUCAUGAUUUAUGCUGUCUCCCUCAGACAAACACUUGUGAACCCCGACAGAUGGAAGUCUUCCCCGCUUUCCCCGGAGCAUCUCUCUAUCUGGACUCUAAGAUCAUACCCACUUGACUCUACAGCAUCGACCCCCUCAGGAUGUCAACAGCUGGGAAGAGAGGCAUCCACGGCCUGCAGUGGGGCCUCCCCGCUGCUCAUCUGUCACGGACAUGGUCCAUGUUCCUCCUGACAAGAAGCUGGAUGUCUUGCUCCCAUUUCCAGAAAAUUCAUUAAUACUUCUUGAAGGUCUGGAUGGAAAAGAAUAACUUUGCACUUUUGUCCUCCACAAAAUGGUGUGAAGAUCAAGGCCACCACAAUGCAAGCACGUGUGCUGUGACCCUCACCUGUGUGAAUCCCUGCACUGCUGGCCUGAGCUGCAAGCAAAAGCCACACAAGAAAGGGCUCAAACUUUUUUACUUUUUACUUUUUGAGAGGGAAGAAAAACGGUGCCGUAAAAACACGUGAAUCAUCAGCUGUCACCAUGCAGCAUGAGAACCAUUGUCACAUCCGCUUUCCCCAGUCAUACAGAUGCAGCUGGCCUGGGGAGUUUGGUUGCCUGUCUGCUAUGCAGUCAUGAUUGCAGCCAGAAGACAAUCGCCUGAAGGGUAAGGUUGUCCUGAAGGAUACAAGUCAGGGCUGAAAUCCGUCGUCACUUCCCUCCCAUGACAUGAACGUGACCACCAUGGUCGGGGACAAGAGAGGGUGGCCUGGUGAGUAGUUCUCAUCGCUGUUAGGCCGCGGAAAUAAGAGACUGUGCUUUCCUCUCCCACCUCAGGCCCCUGCUGGAAUCUUCAAGCAGAGGCUCUGAGAUCUUACCAAGUUGGAAGCUGAGAUUCUUGGGGACUUUGCAAGCCACCAAGUCAACACAAAACCAUUCAUGACUCUACCGACUAAGAAACUGAAUCUUUUUUUUUUAAUUAAAUUGUUCUAUGAACUUCAA